rnacentral:rRNA from 1 species
CCUGAGAAACCCAAAAGAUCGAAUGGGGAGAUUCAUCGUCAGCUCAUUUUGUAUAUGUAUGGGUUAUGAUAUGAGUUACUACUUGUAGUAUUGCUUGCACAUUCUUAUACAUUUAGUUGCAAGAUGUUGUCGGCGUGCACUUCUCCCCUAGUAGAACGUCGCGACCCGUUGAGUGUUGGUCUACGGCCCGAGUUGGUAGUCUUUAAUAUUUUAUUAUAUUAAAGUCCCUUGGUGUUUUUUGACCAGCUACUCGGCGGUACUCAUACGGUAUUAAGCCGCAAUUUUUCAAAUGUGCGUCCAUUUUCGUCGCAAGCGAGGCCAAUUUCUGAUAGUACGGACCUAGUGCCGUCGUUGGUAUUGGCCAGCUGUUGGUAGUACGAUAUUCUAGGACUGGCUUGAAAAUUUUAAUUACCGGUCGGCGAUGCUACUGCUUUGGGUACUUUCAGG